AUCAACAUCACCUUGAUCCUCAAA
rnacentral:siRNA from 1 species